rnacentral:rRNA from 1 species
AGUUUGAUCCUGGCUCAGAUUGAACGCUGGCGGCAGGCCUAACACAUGCAAGUCGAACGGUAACAGAGAGUAGCUUGCUACUUUGCUGACGAGUGGCGGACGGGUGAGUAAUGUCUGGGGAUCUGCCUGAUGGAGGGGGAUAACUACUGGAAACGGUAGCUAAUACCGCAUAAUGUCGCAAGACCAAAGCGGGGGACUUUCGGGCCUCGCACCAUCAGAUGAACCCAGAUGGGAUUAGCUAGUAGGUAAGGUAAUGGCUUACCUAGGCGACGAUCCCUAGCUGGUCUGAGAGGAUGACCAGCCACACUGGAACUGAGACACGGUCCAGACUCCUACGGGAGGCAGCAGUGGGGAAUAUUGCACAAUGGGCGCAAGCCUGAUGCAGCCAUGCCGCGUGUAUGAAGAAGGCCUUCGGGUUGUAAAGUACUUUCAGUCAGGAGGAAGGGUGCGAAAUUAAUACUUUCAUGCAUUGACGUUACUGACAGAAGAAGCACCGGCUAACUCCGUGCCAGCAGCCGCGGUAA